CCUUCCUGAGAAGGUCAAGAUUCUCUUAAAGGAAAGAGAAAGACCACCCUCGAACAGCAAAGUGUCCUGAGUUGUGGCUGAAAAUGAUAUUGGAAGAUCUUUUCUCCAGCAUACAUCCCCCCACCCUUCACCAUGGUUAUCGAAGACAGAGUUCGCAGGAUUUAAGCACAGCCAAAGUAAACAGACCAAGAAUUUGAGAUGUGGUCCAAGUUUCCUUUUUUUUGGAAUGCUGAUGAUCGAGGAAGAAACUUCCAAAUUAGGAAUGAUGAGGACAUCUACAUCUGCCCUUCGUGCCUAUUCUGCAUUGGCACAUGCAACCCAGAAUUUGGACCCACAAAUGUGAACCUUAUUUGCAUGCAUAAGUGCUGGUUGGCAGUUCAAAGCUCAUGUUGUUUUGACACUUGAACAGUUCUGUGUGCAUAUUAGAAGGUACAGCUAUUAAAG